rnacentral:rRNA from 1 species
UACGUAGACAGCGAGCGUUGUUCGGAAUUACUGGGCGUAAAGAGUGUGUAGGCGGUGUUCCCAGUCUGUUGUGAAAUCUCCCGGCUUAACUGGGAGGGUGCAGCGGAAACUAGAAUGCUAGAGGGUGGGAGAGGUAAGCGGAAUUCCUGGUGUAGCGGUGAAAUGCGUAGAUAUCAGGAGGAACACCUGUGGUGUAGACAGCUUACUGGACCACUUCUGACGCUGAGACACGAAAGCGUGGGUAGCAAACGGG